rnacentral:rRNA from 3 species
CGAGAUGAGUUCUCCCUGAGACUUAGAGUCUCCUGAAGGAACGUUGAAGACGACGACGUUGAUAGGCCGGGUGUGUAAGCGCAGCGAUGCGUUGAGCUAACCGGUACUAAUGAACCGUGAGGCUUAACCUUACAACGCCGAAG